CCGAGUUUUCCACAUGGCUGUUUUUGAACUCAAUCAAACAUAAACAUCCGGAUGGAUUUCAUCUAAUAUGAUAUUGCCAGUGAAAUGAGACAAAUAACAGGUUCAAAAGGAAGAACAUGAAGUCCUCUGGAUGCUGUUGAAUUACAGAUUCCAGCUCUUCCAGUUAGCCUGGCUAAUGAUGAAAGAUUAUGCGGGACUCUGUUCAACCACAUUUGGAAGACACAAAUUCGCCAUUCCUGCUAGAAGAAACUAUACAAUAAUUCCAUGUCUAAAAUGCAAAAGACCACUGAAGGGAUACUAGUGCACUAUCAACAUGAAUGUUUUUGAAAGGAACAGGUGGAAUCCCCUGACCUCAAAAUAAAGCACCAGCUUCAGGUCACCCUCAUUUACCAAAUAUUACUGUUCUAAAUUAAAAUAUUAACAAAUGUAAUCAAA